CCUACGGGAGGCUGCAGUGGGGAAUAUUGGACAAUGGGCGCAAGCCUGAUCCAGCCAUGCCGCGUGGGUGAAGAAGGCCUUCGGGUUGUAAAGCCCUUUUGUUGGGAAAGCGGUACCCAAAGAAUAAGCACCGGCUAACUUCGUGCCAGCAGCCGCGGUAAUACGAAGGGUGCAAGCGUUACUCGGAAUUACUGGGCGUAAAGCGUGCGUAGGUGGUGGUUUAAGUCUGUUGUGAAAGCCCUGGGCUCAACCUGGGAAUUGCAGUGGAUACUGGGUCACUAGAGUGUGGUAGAGGGUAGCGGAAUUCCCGGUGUAGCAGUGAAAUGCGUAGAGAUCGGGAGGAACAUCCGUGGCGAAGGCGGCUACCUGGACCAAACUGACACUGAGGCACGAAAGCGUGGGGAGCAAACAGGAUUAGAUACCCUUGUAGUC
rnacentral:rRNA from 1 species